AGUGAACGCUGGCGGCAGGCCUAAUACAUGCAAGUCGAACGGCAGCACAGCAGAGCUUGCUCUGUGGGUGGCGAGUGGCGGACGGGUGAGGAAUACAUGGGAAUCUGCCCAGUCGUGGGGGAUAACGUAUGGAAACGUACGCUAAUACCGCAUGCGCCCUAAGGGGGAAAGCCGGGGACCGCAAGGCCUGGCGCGAUUGGAUGAGCCCAUGUUCGAUUAGCUAGUUGGCGGGGUAAAGGCCCACCAAGGCGACGAUCGAUAGCUGGUCUGAGAGGAUGAUCAGCCACACUGGAACUGAGACACGGUCCAGACUCCUACGGGAGGCAGCAGUAGGGGAAUAUUGGACAAUGGGGGCAACCCUGAUCCAGCCAUGCCGCGUGAGUGAAGAAGGCCCUCGGGUUGUAAAGCUCUUUUGUCCGGAAGAAAGCAAUCGGUUAAUACCCGGUUGUUCUGACGGUACCGGAAGAAUAAGCACCGGCUAACUUCGUGCCAGC
rnacentral:rRNA from 1 species